GGCUUAGAGUUUGAUCAUGGCUCAGGAUGAACGCUGGCGGCGUGCCUAACACAUGCAAGUCGAACGAAGCGCUUUCUUUAGAUUCUUCGGAUGAAGAAGACUGUGACUGAGUGGCGGACGGGUGAGUAACGCGUGGGCAACCUGCCCUGUACAGGGGGAUAACAGUUAGAAAUGACUGCUAAUACCGCAUAAGCGCACGAGGACGCAUGUUCUUGUGUGAAAAACUCCGGUGGUACAGGAUGGGCCCGCGUCUGAUUAGGUAGUUGGUGGGGCAGCGGCCUACCAAGCCGACGAUCAGUAGCCGACCUGAGAGGGUGACCGGCCACAUUGGGACUGAGACACGGCCCAAACUCCUACGGGAGGCAGCAGUGGGGAAUAUUGCACAAUGGGGGAAACCCUGAUGCAGCGACGCCGCGUGAAGGAAGAAGUAUUUCGGUAUGUAAAAUUCUAUCAGCAGGGAAGAAGAUGACGGUACCUGACUAAGAAGCACCGGCUAAAUACGUGCCAGCAGCCGCGGUAAUACGUCUGGUGCAAGCGUUAUCCGGAUUUACUGGGUGUAAAGGGAGCGUAGACGGAGAGGCAAGUCUGAAGUGAAAGCCCGGGGCUCAACCCCGGGACUGCUUUGGAAACUGCAGUUCUAGAGUGCCGGAGAGGUAAGCGGAAUUCCUAGUGUAGCGGUGAAAUGCGUAGAUAUUAGGAGGAACACCAGUGGCGAAGGCGGCUUACUGGACGGUGACUGACGUUGAGGCUCGAAAGCGUGGGGAGCAAACAGGAUUAGAUACCCUGGUAGUCCACGCCCGUAACGAUGACUACUAGGUGUCGGUGAGCNAAGCUCAUNCGUGCCGCAGCCAACGCAAUAAGUAGUCCACCUGGGGAGU
rnacentral:rRNA from 1 species